UGGAAAGCAUUUAAUUCAUUGAAUUCACAUGAAUUUUUAAUAACUAUCAUACAUUUAAAACUAUUGGGCCACUUGCAUUUUAGAGAAAAGAUUGCUUAUUCAAGAGUAAUAAAUCUUAAAUAGUGUAUCAUAUUUGAGUAAGGCUAGCUUCCCAAUCCUCAUACAUAAUCUCAUAGCCCAUUAUUCUUCUAGGAAUGGGAGGUGGUGCUCUUACAGUCUUCUCAAAGGAUUUUAAAAAAUCCUGAAUUUUUAAUUUUUAUAACAACAAUCCAAAGAAGUUGAGAUUUUGUUGAUUCUCACUCUUAAUGCAUAUUAUGUAUAGAUUCAGCCAAAUCUAGGCUUCAAAGCAAAGCCAAGAUCAUUUCUUUUUGAAAAAAAUUACAUAUUAUUGCAUUUUAUUAUGAGUCUCCACCAAAAUAUUUUGGUGAUGACAAUGAGGUUUGCUGUCACCUACUACUUCUGAUGAUAUUAGUGACUUCCAUGAUGCACUUGCUGUAUUUUUCAAAUUUUUGUGCUUCUGCCAUUGCUCCACAGUGAGAGGAACAGAUGAUUUCUAGCUGUUGUGUGACUAUUUCUUCUUCUGGACUAUUCAGGUGUAUUCAGUGAUCACACUGUGUCAGAUAUCUUCCAACUAGUCACUGGCCUGCAACAAAGCUGGAAUGAGGUCUCAGAGUAAUGGACUCCAAAAGACUAUGCAUUACACUGCUGGAGAAUAUGCUGGAAACAAAUCUGACAGGGCAUUAGUAGAAGAGGAAUGAAAUAUCAUUUUCUUAACUUCAAAGUCCAACUGCAUGGCCAAUCAAGGUUGAUUGACUGAAGGUGUCAAAAAGAGUGGCAGACAAUAUCCUCCAGUCUGCUGACCUUGCGUUUCAGAAGACAGAUUAAACCAGGCGGUAUCUUUCUAAAUUCAAAUGGACUGG
rnacentral:lncRNA from 1 species